AUUGAACGCUGGCGGCAUGCCUAACACAUGCAAGUCGAACGAGUGGCGUACGUGUUAGUAAUACAUCGGAACGUGCCUUGUGGAGGGGGAUCACUAGUCGAAACUUUAGCUAAUACCGCCUACCAUAGGAUCGGCCGAUUUCGGAUUAGCUAGUUGGUGGGGUAAAGGCACACCAAGGCGACGAUCAGUAGCUGGUCUGAGAGGAUGAUCAGCCACACUGGAACUGAGACACGGCCCAGACUCCUACGGGAGGCAGCAGUGGGGAAUAUUGGACAAUGGGCGAAAGCCUGAUCCAGCAAUGCCGCGUGUGUGAAGAAGGCCUUCGGGUUGUAAAGCACUUUUGUCUGGGAGGCGUUACCAGCAGAAUAAGCACCGGCUAACUCCGUGCCAGCAGCCGCGGUAAUUC
rnacentral:rRNA from 1 species